rnacentral:rRNA from 1 species
AACGAACGCUGGCGGCAUGCCUAACACAUGCAAGUCGAACGAUGCCUCCGGGCAUAGUGGCGCACGGGUGCGUAACGCGUGGGAAUCUGCCCUUGGGUUCGGAAUAACUCGCCGAAAGGCGAGCUAAUACCGGAUGAUGACGUAAGUCCAAAGAUUUAUCGCCCAAGGAUGAGCCCGCGUAGGAUUAGCUAGUUGGUGGGGUAAAGGCCCACCAAGGCGACGAUCCUUAGCUGGUCUGAGAGUAUGAUCAGCCACACUGGGGCUGAGACACGGCCCAGAAUCCUACGGGAGGGAGCAGUGGGGAAUAUUGGACAAUGGGCGAAAGCCUGAUCCAGCAAUGCCGGGUGAGUGAUGAAGGCCUUAGGGUUGUAAAGCUCUUUUACCCGGGAUGAUAAUGACGGUACCGGGAGAAUAAGCUCCGGCUAACUCCGUG